UGCCGCGAUCCCUAGCACCAGGGCCGAGAGGCCUAUAAGGACUAGAGCGGAGAGGCCACGCCUCCUCAGCGCCUCAGCCCAAUCCAGAUCCGGGAGUGUGGCCCCCCUCGGCCAAUGGGCUCCGGGCGCACGUUCGCAACGUUCUCUCCUGCCCGGUGACAGAGGUCUGGCCCCGCCCCCGCUGAGCCCCAGAACGCUCCCAGCCGAACCCCGCGCCGCGGCCACGCCCCCUUUCUGGAAGGGAUCCGCGGCGGCUGCAGCUGCCAAGGUCCCCGAGGGCGCUCGCGGCAGGGGAGGAUCAAGGAACGACUUGUUUAUUAUAGGGUCCUGUUGCUGGGGGAGGGGGUAGCCGUGACCGCGCGGGGGGAAAGGCAGGGGAACUUGAGGGGGCGGCGGGCCGGGAAAACGGUUGCCCCCAGCGUCUGGGAACCUGAGACUACAGGCACAAGUAAGCGCUCGGGUGGAUGCCUGUGGGACGGCGGCGCGGGGAGCAGACGUUAACCCGGCCGGACCUCGCGCACAUACCCCACGCUAACCCGGCCUUGCAUAGGGUCGGAAUAUGGGGAUGGGGUCAAGGCAGGGCUGGUCCCAGCACCGAGCUCUCUUGCAGCGCCACCAGUUUGUUAACUCUACAGCCCCAGUGGGUGGGUUAAUGGGGGAGGUCCAUGCCCCCCCCCCCAAUAUGAUCCUCGUCCGCUAGAUCGUGUCCGCUCCCACCCCCAACUGCUUCCAAGGAGAGAGUUUGGCGAGGGUGGCUAGAAGAGGUUUGUUGGGCUCGGGUUCCUAGCGCCUGGUCUUGGGUCUGAGAACGGGGACUCAAAUUCGAUGAACACAAGGGCCCUCCGCGGGCCCUACAAAUAGACAGCGGUUCGGUGGUGUCUCCCCCGCCCUCUGUACCCGAGAGUCCUCGGGCGUCUGCCGGGUCCUAGCGCCCCUCCUUCCAAGGCGCUUUGUGUAAAAGAACCGGAGAGUUGCAUCAGGACCAAGGACUAGAUCUCCGGAAAAGUCCGGGAGUGCAAUGGCCAUCCCCUGUUUCGUCAUUCAGGCGGGGCCACAGGAUAUCUGGCUUGAUGGCAGUGCUCGGGGACGAAUAAUGAUUGCUGAGGGUGGGAGGAGGUUCGGACGGACUCGACCUUUAAGUCUUUAAAGGCUUAUCAAUCUGGGACACCGGGAUCCCGAUAGAAGAGGGAACCAAAUUUACAGCAGACACUCCCACUCCGGGAGCCUAACCAGAUCCGACUGGCAGGCCUCGCCUCGGGGGCGGGCUUGCGCGUGACAGAUGACACUUGCUGGAGGUCGGGCCCCUGCCAUCCCCACCCCCACCUAAUUAAAAAAAAAAAAAAAAAAAGGCUGACCCGUGGGCCUUUCGGGCAAACCCUGACUCGAACCAGAAAGGACCGGAAUUGAGGCCCUGCACCGCCCCCCUCCCCCAUUUUCCAGAUGGAGGAACCAAUUAUGGAGACAAAUUUAUGGAUAAAAAAUAAAUUAGGGGGAGUCAGAUUAGGAGAUAGCGUUAAGAUUGCCGCGCAACAGAAUAGUCUUUAGGCCGCUGGGGCGAUUAAGGCCUGAACACUGGCCCUUUCUUCCUGUCCUCCGAGUUCCAGUCACUUACUGGGAGCCUUAAAGACACCAGGAUCAGGGGGGUUAGGGGAAGUGCUUGGAGGGCUGGUGGUGGUAGAUGACAUUCUCUUGAAAUCACAGUUUACUGAGGUGGGGUGACCCGUAUGGAUGUGGCCUUGUCGCCAGGACAGAAGGUUAGGGAAUGAAUCCAUCAGAGUACUAUUCCCUCUUCCCACCAGACAGACUGGGUUGGGGACACCUGAGACAGAAGGAGAUAGUUUGGGGAUGUUUUUCUUUUUCAUCUCUCUCUCUCUCUCUCUCCCUCUCUCUGUGGCAGGAAAAAAAGGAAAUAUUUCAGAAAAAAAUGUGGAACACUAAGAAAAAUAGAGGUUUUUAAAAAAGUGGAUAUUCAUAAGCAAAAGAAUCCAGAGACCGUGUGGAGAGCUCAGUUCACCAGAAACCAUUCAUAUUCAAUAUGGUAUUUGUGUGGUGCAUUUGAGUGUUUGUGUGUGUGUUGAAUAUGUGCAGUGUGUCUGCAGUGUAGGGUUUGUGCUUUGUAUGUAUUUUGUGUGUAUGUGUGUGGAAUAUCUGUGGUGUGAGUGCGCUGUAUGUGUAGAUCUUAGUGGGUGUUGGUUAUGGUGUGGUGUAUGUGAACUGUGUGUGUGGUAUAUAUGAAUUGUGAAUGUGGUUUAUAUGUGGAGUAUAUGCAGCAUAAGUGUGGGCUGUGCAGUGUGUGUAUGUGUGUGUUAUUUGUGUGGCAGCGAAACAUGGUCAUGAAACAGUGUGCUAAGCACAUUUUAUCAUUCACUGUCUCACUCUGUUAUUGCCAAGUUUUUCCCAAAUGGGAAGGCCUGUGUUAAUGGGCACUGAGUAAUUUUGUUUCUUUUCAAAAGAAAUCCACUAAUGUUGUUGCCUCAUUGUGUUUUCUAAAAAUAUGGAAAAGAGGACCAGCAGUCUUAGCCCUGGAAGUCUCUCCCAGAGCAGAAGGGGUGGGCUGCAGAAUAAACAAUCACCUACAAGGAGGACUGGGGGCCGGGGAGGCUCCAAACGACUUUCCUCACUGACCCCCUUCUCCCCUGUGAAGGAGGGGUCAAAGCCCCAUACCAUUGUCUUCCAGGAGAACCUUUGGACCUGGAAGAGGAAUUUCUUAACUGUUAGCCCCUCUGUGGAGUCAGGGUAAAGGGCGUUGAUCCAUCGUGUGAGGGGAAGGGAAGGGUAGGAUCCCUUCCAUCUGGCUGGGGCUGCAAAGACUUCAUUACCACCCCACUUACCCCUUCCACUAUUGAAGCAGAUGGGGGUGUGGGAAACACCUAAAAUGUGUAACUCCUGGGGGAGGAGGAAGCUCAGUCUCCUCACCGCUAAGCCAGGCCCCCUUGGAGACCUCAAAGAUCCCAUAAACCCUGCAUUUGGUGUGCUUCUCUCUCCCUACUACUCCCCUUGGGCCUAAGCUGGCUGCAGGUCAGACUUGCCUGAACAUGCCCCUGCCUGAAGCUUUGGAGACCCAGCUCUGGCAUCCCUGCAGCCAAGAAGCCUUCCCCAGCACACCCACCCCCACCCUCCCAUCCCUUAGGUGCCCCUCCUCAUGUCAUCCUUAUACCCCUGUAUAUCUCUUGUUAAUAAUUGUUUCCACUUUAGUCUUCUUAUUGGACUAUGAGCUUCUUGAGGAUGGUGUUCUACUCUCCUUAACUUCCAGUGGACAGCACAUAGUAAAGGCUCAGUGAACAUUCCUUGGAUGAACAGAUGAAUGGAUGGAUGGAUGGAUGGAUGGAUAGAUGGAUGAAUAAAGCAAGAAGGUGAAUUUUCCCAGAAUUGUAGACCUACAUCUGGAUUCCCAAGACCAAGGUGGGCCUUUGGGGUGGACCUUCAGAAGACCUGGAUGCUACGUUUCUAUCCUUCUUCUGACAAGUGCUGCCCAAAGUCUUGGAUGUAUCUGAACCUUUUCCUCCUUUCUCAGCUCAGGUCUGGGAGUGGGGCUUCUAAGGCCCCAAUUUAGUUCUCCAAUUCAAAGAUAGCAUACAACCCAAGGAAGCUGGGGAGAGAGGGGACAUUGUGUAGAGGGCUGAUGUGGGGAAUCUUUUCAAGCAAUUAGUACUUUGCCUUCAAGUGCUUCAAAAUACUUAAAAAAAUCUUUUGACAUACAAUUCACAUUCACAAUUUUUUUAAUUUUUAUUUUUGAGACAGACAGAGAGAGAGAGAGAGAGAGCGUGCGCAAAGGGGAUGAGGGGCAGAGAGAGAGGGAGAUCCAGAAUCUAAAGCAGGCUCCAGGCUCUGAGCUGUCAGCACAGAGCCUGACAGGGGGCUCGAACUCAUGAACUGCAAGAUCAUGACCUGGGCCAAAGUUGGAAGCUUAACUGACUGAGCCACCCAGGUGCCCCACGAUGAACAAUUUUAAAGUGAACGAUUCAGUGGCGUUUAAUUCAUUUCCAAUGUUGUGCAACCACUAUCUCUAAUUCCAAAACAUCUUUAUUACCUCAAAGGAGACCCCAGAUCCAAGCGCUGGGUCACUCUCGUCAAAAUCCUUUUGAAGUUUAUAUUCCCUUGUUGGAAUAGGGUUGCUCCUUUGCCCAACUCCAGAGGGCAUCCUUCGCUUUUGAGUCUGUGCAUUUACAUAUGUCUUCUAGGGAAUUGUGCUCUAGGGAGCACGGGUCACAUAGACGUAAUGUGCAACAUGGACAUCAAGACAACCACGGGAGACUGGCUGAACUCUGAGCAGGAGUGGCCUAGUGUCACGUCCUGGGUCCUGAGUGACUCAGGCCUCUGGAGCUGGUAAUCAGGCCCCAUGUCCCAGUCACUGUGGCCAGAGCCCUGACCACACAGACACUGCCUCUUCCCGGGCCCUGCUCUAUUCCCGUGGGACCUGCCACAGCCUGCAAUUGAAAGUCAAUGAGCACUCACUCCUGGCCUCCUGCCUCUCCCGGUUCAGGCAGUUUUUGUCCAGUGCACCGAUUCCCAGGGCCUCAGUGUGGCAAGUCGCCCGAGUCGAGUUUGGGAAGUUAAACCAGAUCUUGGGGUGGGAACCCUAGAAGUCAGGAUGGGAACCCCUGAAGGCCAGCCAGCUUGCCUGCAAGGCUCAGCUUGGGCACCUUCGCAGUUCUUCGGAAACAUCUCAUUGAGGGUAGUGGAGGUGGCGGGAGGAGCCAGUGGGUCAGGGCGGUGGGGAGAAGGUGGAGGGGUGUGGUAGGAGGUGGGGACAGUGGAGCCAGCAAAAGUGUUCCCCGGACUUCUGCGGCUUUUUUUCUUGAAAAACAACAAACAACCUUGUCAAAAUCAGCAGCGCUGUAAGUGCACCCGGUUUAUUAGGAGGGUUGUGAAAAGCUAUUGACAGCCCAGGGCUUCAGGUAGGAUUUUGAUUGCACUGUUGGAAGAAGCACUAAAAACUCAGUGUGGAGUCUUUUUGCAAAUGAAAUUACUUUUUGAAAUGGAAAUACUAACAAUACAAUGUAUUGUAUAGGCUUAAAAAGAAUAGGUCUUAAAAACUACCAUCUAUACCCUGAGGAACGAAAACAGUGCCAUUCUACAGAUGAGGAAAUUGAGGCCCAGAGUGAGUCCAGGAAUCCUUUCAACCAAUGGCUUUCAAGCCCAACUGAUAAUUAGAAUCAUCUGGGGAGCUUGUUACCGUAGAUUCUCAUCUCUCCAGCCCCUAUUUUAAUUUGGUAGGUCUGUGUGGGGCCCUUUCGUAAAACAGCCCCCUAGGCGAUCCUGACGCUCCGCUCCGCUCCAUUUUAGUUGGAAUGUCUGCUGACCUCUCAGAAAGAAAGAUGAGAAGACCAAAGGGAAGUAUCCAAAGCAACCCUGAAUGGGAACCAGAUCCCACAGUCCGUUGGCUUACACUGGCCCUCUCUCCCUUCACCUCAUCGCCUCUUCAGAGAGGCCUUCCCUGGUGGCCCCAUCCCUGCUUCUCCUCUGUUGUUUCCUUUCAAGGCACUCAGUCAGUAUGGAAUUAUACAGGGCUGACGUGACAAUCAAGACACAGCGUAUGUGACAAUGCUUUGGGAGCAGCAGAGCAUUUUAUUGCAGAGGCACCCUUGCCAUCAGCUUGCUUAGGCUGGCUGGUUGUGCCGUCCUGGUCAUUAGCUGUCAUCCGCCCUUUGCCUUCCUCCUUGUUCACGGAAGUGUCCCUCAAGCAUCUAUUUUUUCACCAUACUGAACCUUAAAGAGUUAUGUAGACACUGACAAAUAGCUAAUUCUAUCAGCUCCUCAAGGAACUGCCUGUCUCUUCAUUUUGCUUGAGACCCCUUAUCACCAAUCACUGGGAGGAAGAAGGGAGAGUAGUGAAAAAGCUUAUUUCCUCCUGGCAGUUAAUUCACUUUAUCAUUUAAAAAAAGGUGUUAGGGUUUUUCUUUGUUCAAGGCACUGGGUCGGGUUCAGUGGGGUGCAGCAUGGUGCACCUAAAAUAAUCUCAGCUUUGGAAUCUGAGAGACUUUGAAUUCAAACCCGGGCGUGGCUAUUUGCUUAGCUCUGCAGACUUGGCGGGUAAUGCUCGCUCUGAGCUUUAAGUUCGUCUUCUGUACUGGGGGUAUUACAUCUCUUGCAGCGAUAUUGAGAAGAUUAUAAUUAAUGCCUGUGAGUGACUGGCACAUAGUGAGUGCAGAGAGGACAGAUAAGCAGCAAGGACCAUCUUCAAGCUCAAAGCGUGGUAACAGGAGUUGUGGAUGAUGAGAUGUGACAACCAACAGAAAGGUGCAGAGAGGGAGGGGCAUCUUCAAAAAAAUAGCGAAGGUCUUGUUCUGACAGUACUCAAGUAGCAGCCAAAGGAUCGCUGUGAAAGGUGCAACCCUGCAUUCUCUUCAGUUUCUGAAGUCAUAAAAACAAAAUGGCCAACCGAAAAAAAUUCUGUUAAGUCCCAAUACUAAAGGGUAAAGAUGAGGUAAUACAGUGUCUGUGUUGUAGUUAUGCAAAUGAGAACAAUGAGAGAAAGUUAGCAAUGGCUUCUCAACUGUCACUGGAAAUGUGACCUAAAGGUUUACUGCAGUCUAGGUAUUUUUAAUUUUUCCUUUGGCAAUCAUCACGAUGGUUGGUGCUGGGGCACCUCGCUGGCUCAGUCGUUUGAGCGUCCGACUUUAGCUCAGGUCAUGAUCUCAGGAGUUCAAACCCCACAUUGGGCUCGCUGCUAUCAGCACAGAGCCUGCUUUGGAUCCUCUGUCCCUUUCUCUCUCUGCCUCUCCCUGUUCUCUCUCUUUCAAAAAUAAACAUUUAAAAAUAAAUAAAUAGCCUUAAAAAAAAAAAGAUGGUUGGUGCUAAAAAGUACAUUAGGAAACUCAAUGGCUUCCAAAUAUGGAACUUGUUUGGGUUGAGAGGUAUUAAUAUGGAAACAGGUGAGUCUGCAGGCUGGUCAUUUUGUGCUCUGAUGUGCUUUAGAGACUAGAGCAGUGGGCUGAAUUAUCAAUAAACUGAAAUCUAUUCUAAAUUCCAAGAUCUCCUUCUGCCUGGGCUAUGUGACCAUGAGCAGGUCUUUAACAUCCCCGUGUUCAGAUUCUGGGAGUCAAGAUUACUGACUCAAUGAAGUCACCACCUCCUUGUCAGGUAGUAGGUGUUAAACGUUUUGAACUCCUGAGAUUAGGGCCAAUUGCUACUGGGAUUAUACUUAUUCAUCAUUAAGCAACUCUAAACAGGUUGGGUAUAAGAGAAAGACAAAUGUUAUCAAGACAAAUGUAUGCUAAUUUUUUAGCAUCCAAUCUAAAAUAAAUGAUCUUCCUAAGUGUACAGUGUGGACCCUGGGGUCCCAUGAGGGAGAACAAAGGACAUCUCUUAGCUUUCCAGGCUUUUCCAUAUCCUGGUAUAAGAGCCUACUAAAUUCGGGGUGUCUGGGUGGCUCAGUUGGUUGAGCAUCCAACUCCUGAUUUUGACUCAGGUCAUGAUCCCAGGGUCGUGGGAUUAAGCCCUGAGUUGGGCUCUGCGCUGACGGAGGAGUCUGCUGAAGAUGUUCUCUCUCUCUCUCCCUCU